UGUGGGAGCUGGCUUGCCUGCGAUAGCGGUGUGUCAGUGCAGAUGAGACUGGCUGAUCCACCGCUAUCGCAGGCAAGCCAGCUCCCACA
rnacentral:misc_RNA from 1 species